rnacentral:misc_RNA from 1 species
GUAUAAGAUUUUAUAGGUUACAAGAACCCACAAAAAGACAUUCAUAAACAUACAUUGGGUGUAGAAAAGCAUAGACUAUGAAAGGUAGGGGAGAGCACGGAUUAGAUGCAAUCCCCAAUACACAAGUCGAAACUUGAGAUAGAUAUUCAUAGUCUAGCGAAAGAUGCACAGGAGAGAAGAAAGGAGUGAACAGGCGAGCACAUACUAAGUUUCCUUAGCCAGCUACAACCCGAAUCAACUUCAAUAAUGAUCCUUCCGCAGGUUCACCUACGGAAA